CUUCGGAUCAUCUGAUCUUCGGAUCAGUACGCUAUCGAGCUGUUUUAGAAACAUCAGGGGCCAUUUUGAUCGCCAGAUCGAGAUGAGCUCCAUUGGCGGGAUUUCGCCGUCUUCGUUUCUCUUUCUUCGCGGACGAACACGCAAGCCCUGAAGGCUUUUGCGCGGUCGUGCUGUUGUCGCGGGCCUGCCAAGGGCUACGCGAGGGGGCAUGACCGGCGCAGGCCUUCGAUGUGGACAAGGCGUCACGGGCUUGUAGCUCAGUUGGUUAGAGCGCGCGCUUGAUAAGCGUGAGGUCGGAAGUUCAAGUCUUCCCAGGCCCACCAUGCUUCGCCCUUUGGGCUACGCAUGGCGCAGCCAUGCAGGAGCCGAAAGGCAAAGCAUGGUGCCCGGCGAAGCCACUUGGCGAAGACGGGCGGGCGAGAAUAUCGUCUCGACGAUCUCGAUUGCCUUGGCGAUCCUGCAGCUCACGCAUUCGUCUCCCGGUCAUGGGGCCUUAGCUCAGCUGGGAGAGCGCGUGCUUUGCAAGCAUGAGGUCGUCGGUUCGAUCCCGACAGGCUCCACCAGCCUUCGCGCCUUGAGGCGCUUCGGCUCGGCAAGCCAGCAGAUCGCGAAGGCUGUCGCGCCGGAGCUCGUAAGAGCGGAGGCGGACUGAUCGCCUGACCGACACAUAUUUCGUCCGCGAAACAUCGCUUUGCGAUCCACUGUCUUUGACGUGGACUCGCGGGUUAUCUGACAUCGUGAAGAGGAGAUCGAUCCGAGUUGGGAUCGUGCAGGCUGAGUGCAUCACUCGAGCAAUCGAGCGGGAGCUUUCAGCAUGAAACUGCGCGUGACCUUCACUAUCUCCAGGUCAUUUCGGCGCAACGGGCGAGCUGUGAAGCUUGUUUGUUGUUGUAAAUGACCUUGUUAGCGACGCUUGACCGCCUCGCUAUCGGUUCGAUCUUACGAAGCAAGCUGGUCUUUCUAAUCAGUGUCCAGCCGCUCUUGUUGCUUGUCCUUCGGGGCGGGCGAGGGGAGCGGACAACAUUCUGCCGAGUGUGUGGACAUUGAUGAUGAGAGC
rnacentral:tRNA from 1 species